CCUCAGAGGCGGCGAGAGCGCGAACCCAGGGGCGGGCCGGCUGCUUCCUCUCCCGUCUCCCGGCAGCCGUGAAGCUACUCAAGGAUGUGCUCCACCAAAAUGAGGAUAUGAAGCCAAUAUAAAGGAAGACAAUGAAUACAAGAGACAGGCAAAGGGAGUUCCCAGGACAUAAGCAAGGGACAUCCCAGGUAGCAAGAGUCCACCUGAUGUCCAGGGCCAUCUGUCCAGGUCCUCUCUCUACUCUUCUGCAUCCUGUUCUCUGCCCAGGGAGGAUGACCUAUUUAGACAGCAGCAAAGGGCUUGCUUACCCAAGGGUACUGGCAGGAGAGAGGAAGGAGGAGAUGGAGAAAUCAAGGCGCAAAGAGGUUACGAAGCUUGCCCAGGGUUUGCCGGGACAUAGAUGGGAGUACUAAUUCACAACUAGAUGUUCCAAUUACAGCUAAAGACAACUAACCAUCUCUACAGACUUUUGCUACCAUAUUGCUCAAGUGCCAGAGCUAUUGCAUAAGCUGAUGUGUCUCCUUCCAGAGGACUCCAUCUCAGUUCACCGCAUAUGAGGAUCUUACAGAACUCAACUGCAAAAUGAGUAUGAUGAGAAUCUUACAGAAUCUUUCAAAACUCCACUCAACACCAACUGUGGGGUCUUGUGACCAUUGGGCUGGUGGAGAAUUCUGCAGAAUUUCAGAAGCACUGGCUUAGUGCCAUGGUGAGUCAGCAUGAACUUAGUUUUGUGAGUGGGCUGCUUCCAUGUUCAAUUGACUGUAGCUUCAUACCUCUCAUUUGUUUAUAAAGCCCUACUAUGUAAAUAUUACCACAGAAUUCAGCAUCUCAAAAUUAACAGAUGUUUACUAUCUCAUAGUUUCUAUGGGUCAGGAAUCAAGUGUGGCCCAGCUGGGUGUCUCCAGCUUAAGACCUCUCAAGAGAUUGCAGUCAAGCUGUGGUCAGUGGGGUUGCUGUCUCACCUGAAGACU